rnacentral:lncRNA from 1 species
UCACUCUGGUCCUACUAAUGAAUUAACUAAUUUAGACUGCUCUGUUUCCUCUUUCCCAUCCCAAGGCAUCAAAAAUUACCUCUCUCGGUAGUGGCGGUGGUGGGAGUGGUGGAAUCGGUUAUCCAUACCCUUGUGGCCCUGUUUUUCCUGGCCAAGGUGGCUAUUCAAACAGAGGGAACUACAACAGAGGUGGAAUGCCUAACAGAGGGAACUAUAACCAGAACUUCAGAGGACGAGGAAACAAUCGUGGCUACAAAAAUCAAUCUCAGGGAACUACAACAGAGGUGGAAUGCCUAACAGAGGGAACUAUAACCAGAACUUUAGAGGACGAGGAAACAAUCGUGGCUACAAAAAUCAAUCUCAGGACUACAACCAGUGGCAGCAGGGUCAAUUCUGGGGUCAGAAGCCAUGGAGUCAGCAUUAUCACCAAGGAUAUUAUUAAAUACCCAAAUAAAAAGAACUGAUACAUAUUUCUCCAAAACCUUCACAAGAAGUUGACUGUUUUCUUUAGUAGGCUAACUUUUUAAACAUUCCACAAGAGGAAGUGCCUGCGGGUUCCUUUUUUAGAAGCUUUGUGGGUUGAUUUUUUUUCUUUUCUUUUUUGUACAUUUUUAAUUGCAGUUUUAAAGUGAAUCGUAAGAGAACCUCAGCAUUGUGCACGAUAAGAGAAUGUGUCAGUAUUUCAGGGUUCUACAUUUUAUCUGUAAAAUGUGACUUUUUUUUUUAUCACAACAAAAGUAAAAUGUUGCUUUGUACCUGGUGUCUUUUAUUAAGAAUUUACUCCCCCCAUUUCUCACGGAGAAUUAACAGUCGGGAGUCAUUGUCACAAUAUAAUAGAAAUGUUAGCAACCAGAUUCAUGGAAGGACUAAGUGGUCCUCAUGAAUUGCAUAAGACUCUGUACUGCUCAUAUUACACUCCAUCUUCUCUAGUUUUUUGGAUAGUAGUUGAGGGGGUAAGCUAAGCAGUAAUCUGACAAAAUCUGGGAAGGCUUUUUCUGUCAGAAUAACAAUGGAAUUGGCAUAAUUGGGAUUGAAGAUAAAACCUGAACUGAGAUGCAGAAGAUGGAGUGUAUGUAGAAGGGCUGUUAAAAAUGGAAAACUUGGUGGCAUUAUUUGUGGAGGCUCAAACUUGUGAAGGUUAAAUACCAUAAUUUUUCCAUUUGUUCUGCAUUUUGAUUCUGAAAAGAAAGCUGGCUUUGCCCAUUUCUUAUUAAAAAAAACUUGUUGUAAAACAACAAAAAAAAUUACCUCUCUCCUAUUUUUUCAAUUCAAUGAUGAGUUAAUCUCAUGCCUGCCUGUCAUGAAUCUAACAUAUGUCUACAAAUUAUUUGACACUCCCACCUUUAAAUGAUGAAUCCUAAUCCCCCCCAAU